rnacentral:lncRNA from 1 species
GUGGAGCUCGGCGGUGUUGGCUGAGCAGGCUGCGGGGUCGGGAGAGGGGAGGCGCCUGGGCCGGCUCCAAUGUCUUCGCGUGCAUGGGGCCCGAGGAACGGGCUGCUCCCCUGUCGUGCAGGCUUCCUAGAAUCUCUGGCACCUCUGCGGGGAUGCGGUGGUGUGGGUGGCCGGCCCAGCGGCCAAGCCUCCCCUGCGCCUCGCGGUUGGGUGCGGGCUUCCCAGGGUAGGCUGCGGGAGCGGCUCCCAGCCUCACGGGAACCUCAACUCCCUGCGGCUCACCCCAGCCUGCGGUACAAGGCGUAGCAAAGAACCUCGAGAGUAGCUGUUGCUUCGUUCGUUUGAUACGUUGCAGAUUUUAGGAGCAUUAACGCCCAUCAUGUUUUCUAUCGCCCCAGGGAGAGGAAGCAGGUGUAGACAGCAGCAAGAGGGAGUUGUGAUGAGGGAAUUAUCUCUGUAGCGUAGAUGUGUGCUCACGUUCUCUGAGGAGUUUUGAAAUCAGUAUUGUUUCCGUUGCCCUGAAUGGUUACAAGGAGAGAACACUGGACUUGGAGUCAGAAAACUUUCAUCCAAGUCAUUCCCUGCUCUAAGUCCCAUUUCUGUUCCAUGAGAUUGUUUCCACCUCAGAUGAGAUUAGACUUAAGGUGGCAUUGGUAUUGUCUGUGGUAAAACAAGAUAUCUUCGAGGGCUCUUCAGUGACUUACAUCCAUACAUCCCUUUUAUGGGAUAGUGGCUUCUGAAAGCUUCCUUGGCAGUGGCAGAUAGAGCAUUGCACUUAUCUUCCCUAGUGUUCACCAAUAAGUUGACUUUGAUUUAUUACACAUAACUUCUUACUAGCCAGUCAGGUUCACAAAAUGAUGUGGAGUGAAUUUCUUUUUAUGUAAUAAAAAACGUUAUAUACCCAAACUGGUCCUUUAUAACUCCUGGAUCUUUCAAGUUGCUGUAUUCUCUGUUCUCUAAAUAAACUAGAGGAGACUGUUUUUGCCCAUCCCCAGGUUACCCAUGGAACUUUUGUGGCUAGUCUGUCUGGCCUUCAUCCCAGUUUUUACAGGUCCAUCUGCCUCCCUUCAUCCUCUCCUUUUUGCUUCUCAAAUGGGCUUCCCAUAAAUUGCAAAUAUUCUCCACUACUCUUCCUGUCAUUUAAUUUAAGUAUCUGGUUUCUUCUUCAUAGAUGCAUAGGAUGGUGUAGCCUAGUGAUUAAGAGUGCAGCUGGAGCCAAGCUGGCUGGGUUCCAUUCCCAGCUCUGCAGCUUUCUGUGUGGUCAUGGGCAACUCUGCAUGCCUCAUUCUCUCACAUAUAAGAUAAAAAUGUAAAAAGUAAUAGCAGGGCUGUAUUAAGAGAGUUGACAUAUAUAGCUUGCUAAGAAAGUACAUAGCAUGUAGUGUUAUAUAAGUGUUAGCUAUUCUUGAUAUUAUCGACAUGUCCAGGUCAGUGUUUUAGAUUAAGAACUCCUAGCAAGUAGGAGACCCAGGCCCCCAAGUGCAUUAUAUUCUAUUGUUAGGUACUAAUAAGUUAUUAAUAGAAUGGAGAAUCUUUGAACCUUAGAAUAUCAGUUUAAAUUCAUUUAUAUAGAGGAUCUCUGCCUCUUAACCCUUACUUUGUGGACAUAGAGACCCACUUAACUGAAGCUGUGAGUGGAAUUUUAAGAGUUUCUGCUUUAUGACCCAGAAAUGAAGUACAUACUAGACUUCUCUGUUGUCUUAUCAACUUUUUCCUGGCCAGGCUUGGUGGGCUCCUGCCUGUAAUCCCAGCACUUUGGGAGGCCGGGGCGGAAGAAUUGCUUGAGCCCAGAGACCAGCCUGAGCAACAUAGACCUCAUCUCUACAAAGAAUCUAAAAAGCAAUUAGCUGGGUGUGGUGGCGCCUGCCUAUAGUCUCUGCUACUCAGGAGGCUUGCCUGAUCCCAGGAAGCUGAGGCUGCUGUAAGCAGUGAUGCAUCACUGCACUCCAGCCUAGGCGAGUAAGCAAGUUCCCGUCUCAAAAAAAACAAAAAGCUUUUUUUUUUAAUGGUUGUGAAAUAGAGUAGUAAGAAUCCAACAUCCAGGCCAGGUGCGGUGGCUCACACCUGUAAUCCCAGCACUUUGGGAGGCCAAGACAGGUGGAUUGCUUGAGGACAGGAGUUUGAGACCAGCCUGGCCAACAUGGUGAAACCCUAUCUCUACUAAAAAUACAAAAAAUUAGCCGGGUGUGGUGGUAGGCAUCUGUAAUCCCAGCUACUUGGGAGGCUGAGGCAGGAGAAUUGCUUGAAUCUGGGAGGUGGAGGUUGCAGUGAGCUGAGAUUGCAGCACUGCACUCCAGCCUGGGCAACAGAGUGAGACUCCAUCUCCAAAAAAAAAACAGAGUCCAACAUCCAUAUCAAAUGACCUCUUCAAAGCUGUUACCUUAGUAGCAACCCUUAUUCCACACUGACAUUGCCAUUAUUCAGAGCACUUUUAAAACUCCCUUUUCAAAUUGUUUUCAGAUCUGCACAGGAAACUCCAACUUGUUUUACUAUAACCAACACUUUGGUUUUAUACCAGAAUAGUAUUGAUUCCCAUCUUAUUCUUCUUAGUUCUGAAUGACCUGGAUAUUUCUAAAAAUAACACCCACUCUCAAAAAAACUGGUAUUUGCCACCACUAAAUAUAGUCAAAAGAAUUUUGACAUAAGUAUUGAAUGCCAAGGUGUUUUUGAAAUCAGAAUAAAGCCUUCCUAAAGUGAUAGCUUUGAAAUAAUCUCAUUUACAGGUAUAAGUUUUGUCCUCUGGUUGUAAAGUUGUAUGGUUCAGUGAGAGGUAUAUUAUAAAUAAACUACCCUUCUGCAGAGGUACCAACUGCUGGUACAACUGGAGGAGAUUCUUUAGUAUCUCAACCUUGAUUCUCCUCUGGCCUGGCUUUGUUCCUGUUUCUAGAUGGAGCUCCAUUUAGCCACCCACUGGGCUUGCUUCAAAAGUGCUGUUUGUUAUCACAUGGCCAACUGGCCAGGGCCAGAACAGGUCCUUGGGUUUACUGCGUUGACCCCAGACUGUUUUAGCCACCAGAGCACUUGUUGAUACUUCAACAUUGGAAAGUGUUGGAAAGCAGCACUGAAACAACCCAGGAACGUUGUCGAGAAGGUAGGGAAGGAGAGAGGAAGGGGCUUCAAAAAUAGUAUGGUACUAAGAAAGCAAUGUGCAAAAUCACCUGUUUACACAAAUGCUUUCUGUGAUAAACAAAAAUGCAAUGACAUUUCCUGAAUAUGAACCUUAACAUUUAGUCAUCCAUUUGCCCUAGGAUGGAUUUGAAAAUGAGCAAUGCUUGAUCAGAUUGGCCUGAUGUUCUUGGGGGCAGGUGAUAAGACCCUUAGGGGUAUUGGAGGUUAGCUUUGACAACAUGGAGAUGAUCCAGCAGUCUCAGUGGUGCCAGCCAAGAAGCUUAAAAUAAACCUGCAUGUGGGUCUGAGAUGCCCUCACCCUGAUGGUUACUGAUUUACUGUGGCCUUUGCCAAAAUCAGCAGUCACAGGGGAAAGAGGCUGGUUUACCAUACUCCUCUAGCACCUGUUUCCCUACAGGUCUUGGCUAGGAAAUCAGCAAGAAAUUGCCAAGUAACUAAAGAAUGGCUACCUGUUUUAUUACCAUGUCAGUGUCGGGAGUUCCUUCUUUGAAAUUAAGUUGUUUGGAGUUAGCAGUGAGAUUGACGAAUCAUCUAUACAAAAGAAACAACACGUACUGUGGUUCAUCUCCUUUGGACCAGAGACUGUUCUAGAUGCUUUCACAUUUGUCUGAUUUUAUAUUUGGAAAGGAAUCCAUUCUCAUCAGAAUUCAUGAGACAAUAGAAUGUUCAAGGGGGGAAAAGCUUUAUUCUCUUACAAAAUGAGAGACCAAAGGCUCUUGGCUGGCAGGCAGUAAGUUUCUGUGUACUAAUUGAACAUGACAGAGAAUACAAAAAGUAGGUGUCUGGGGUUGCGUAAUGAUAGAAUUCAAGUGCUUUACCAAGAGUAUUGCAUACCUGUGGACCUGAGAUUGGCACAUACUUCAAAAAUUCCUGUUAGUUAGGCUAUCUUCAAAUACUAAAGGUGACAUGUAUGGGCAAGAGGGGAGAGAUGAAAGGGGAGGUAGGUGUUGGUGUUAGUAUCUGGCCAUCAGGCAAUUUGGCAAGAUUAAUUUUUUAUUCAGUAUAAUUCUGUAGGUGGAUUCCCCAAAGCACAGAGGGUAUGAGGUGGAGGACAGGCUUCCGGGGAACUGAGACAUUGGGGUGUGUCUAGAGCACUUCCUACAAUAGGUGCCAGUCAUGGCUGCCCCGAAGCAGGUCCUGCCAAUCUACAGACUUCAGUAGGAGUCCCCAAGCUGUGAACUCAAAAAUAGUAGUGGCUGAUUUGCAUACUUUUUAAAAGCUAUAAUUCUUUGCGUAUCUGAACUACUUAGAGUAUAAGUUUUUCAAGAACAGGGAACAUGUCUUUUUACCCACCAAUACAAACCCAUGGCCUGGCAUAUACUGAAAACUAACAGGUAGCAGAUGCUUCCUUUCUACCAUUCUCUAUUCUAAGUGCACUGACUCCUUAUGAGGCAGGCAUUUUUCUUAUAUCCAUUUCACAGGAGAGGAAACUGAAUCUCAAUGAGGGUAAUUUGCCCUAGGAUCACAUAAGUAAGAAGUUGUGGAGCCAUCUACUCCAGAGCUUGACACUAAGGCACUAUGUUAUAGUAUAGUGAUCACUACGUGUAAUAGGAGCUCAAUGAUGAAUAAAUGGACUUGUUUUAAAUGAAGGAAAAGAAAAUGACAUGUUUCAACGGGUGAAUGAAAAUACUUCAUGAAUGAAUAAAUGAAUAUGUCACCUUUUAUUAUGUUCCUUAGGUUUCAAAAGGGCUUAUGUCAGGAUUAGGAUUUAAUUAAUUCUAGCUUUGUGAAAACUAAAGAAAGUUUUACGUUUUCAUUAUGGGUUUGAGGGAAAACUGCAUCCUUAUAACUGGAGAAUUUACACCCAUGCUUAUUGUGUCUAUAACCAGCAGUAAAGUUUGCACAGCUAAGUGUAUCACCACUGAAUAGCCACUCUUGUUAGAGAGCUGCAGGGUUUGAAUAUAGUUUAUCAGGAGAACCAAUCAUACCUUAUAAAAGCAUAUUUUCCUUAGAAAACAGAUACUGUAUUUGUAGGUGAAUACCUACUGUAUUCAACUCACAUUCUAAUAUAACUAUAGUUGAUAAUAUGAUUUGAAGUGAACAGUUUGAUUUGUUAAAAGCAGUAAGUUAAUAUUCAGUUCAAAAUGUUACUUUUAUGUUUAAGCAGUAUCAACUGGAGAGAGA